CUUAUUGCAUGUGGAAACAGACCUGCGUUAAAAUAAUGUUGAAUAUUUAAUAAGCAGUGUCUGAUUGAGUUUGUUGUAAUGGAACCAAUAGAAAAGUCCUAAAAGUACAAACAAACCCCGCCCACCUGGAGGACAAAGGAAAUGCUCAAAGUGUUGGAAAGAUUUCAAAUAGUAUUUGAAUCCAGGGUGUUAUUCGUUAGAGAACACUGUAGCAAAACAUUUAGCAACAUAAUUAUUUUAGUUCAGUUAGUCCCUUCGUGUUUCAGUUCAUAUUCUUCAGUUUGGUGCCUCGUGGAUAUGAUUCAUGUCUCCGUGGAAACAUCAAUGUAAAUUCACCUUUGAUUUUUACUCCUCACUUCCCCUUUCAGGUCCACAGGGUUUUACUGCCCCCUGCUGGAGACUGGAGCACACUGCAGUCCCUUUCAGGUCCAUAGGGUUUUACUGCCCCCUGGUGGAGACUGGAGCACACUGCAGUCCCUUUCAGGUCCAUAGGGUUUUACUGCCCCCUGCUGGAGACUGGAGCACACUGCAGUCUCUGGCUUUCUUUGUGCAGCUUGAUGAUGAGGCCCUCAUCAAUACAG
ensembl:lncRNA